UUUUGUAAAAAUUCAGCAAGCAGCAAUGCGUAAUUUUUCUUGUCCACGUGAUGUAUAAUUACAAAGUAUUAAAACAAUUACAGAGUCUUAAACUUGAAAGUGUUCAUAAAGUUAAUUAGACAAACUCAUAUGGAUUUUGUGAGGAUGAUAAAAUGAUUUAGAAAUCAUCUCCAAGAUAUAUAACUUCAACUAACCCAAUAUAACAUAAUUUUUAAAUCAACUUGGAAAAGGAAAGUUCUAGAAUGUGUAACUAAUGUACUGACAAACUUUUCACAUCAAUCUGGACAAAGACAGUUCCAGAAAUAUGCUUGCCAUCUCUAAAAAGAGAAAUCAAAUUCCAAGGUUUAUGCUAAGUUGUAGGGGAAAAAAAUGUCAGAGUUACCUGCCUAUCUAUCAACCCAGACGAAAAUUGCUCCAUCAGAAAAUGUUUGUUGCUUUGCCUGCACACUUGCUUUGAUAUUCUAUUCUCAAUCUUAUGUGAAGUUAUGUUUGUUCCAGAGCAGGAUGCAAAUUCUGCAUUUCACAAUAACAAAAAAACACAUUGAGCAUUGGCAAUAUCUUAAAGUUACAAUCAACCCAUAAUGGUCAAAAUAUCCAAUUUGAGAUAUAUUUUUACCUCACUCAACAAAGAAGAAGCAGACCACGUACACUCUACAUUCAGCUCCACGUCUCUGAUUAUUUUGUAAUAUUGGAUAGAUCCGACAACACAUUACCUUUCUUCCUAAAUAAGGGACUCUCUUUCUCACCAUCAUUCGGCACUUCCCAGUUCCCAUGAUAAAGGCCCGCCUGCUGCCCACUGCAAAUAAUGAAAUUGUCUAAAUAUAUAUA
rnacentral:lncRNA from 1 species